GGCAGUUAACAGAACAUGCUGAAAAGCGAAAAGAGUGUCAAAACAUAGCUAGCUCUACCAAACUGAAUUAGGAAAAUAUAAACUAGAGGUGUGCGUCUGUGUUCGUGUUCCAACUUCCAACUAGGACGAUGACUCAGAUUUUUUCAAAGAAGUACGAAGUAGAUUCAGAACAAAACCG